GACGAACGCUGGCGGCGUGCUUAACACAUGCAAGUCGAACGGAAAGGCCCUGCUUGCAGGGUACUCGAGUGGCGAACGGGUGAGUAACACGUGGGUGAUCUGCCCUGCACUUCGGGAUAAGCCUGGGAAACUGGGUCUAAUACCGGAUAGGAGCCAUUUUUAGUGUGAUGGUUGGAAAGUUUUUUCGGUGUAGGAUGAGCUCGCGGCCUAUCAGCUUGUUGCUGGGGUAAUGGCCUACCAAGGCGGCGACGGGUAGCCGGCCUGAGAGGGUGGACGGCCACAUUGGGACUGAGAUACGGCCCAGACUCCUACGGGAGGCAGCAGUGGGGAAUAUUGCACAAUGGGCGCAAGCCUGAUGCAGCGACGCCGCGUGGGGGAGGACGGCCUUCGGGUUGUAAACUCCUUUCGCUAGGGACGAAGCUUUUUGUGACGGUACCUAGAUAAGAAGCACCGGCUAACUACGUG
rnacentral:rRNA from 1 species